GGUGAAAGAUCUAUUGUCUAUAGAUUGGCUCGCGUCAUAUUAGCUUUUUGGAGUGGUAACGGCACACCCAGGCGACCAUCUGUCCUUCGUCUGAAACGAAUACCACGCACCCUGUAACUGAGACACGGUCCCUACUCCUACGGGAGGCAUCACUGGGCAAUUUUCCGUAAUGCGCCAAAGCCUGACGGAUACAAUACCGCGUGAGGGAGGACAGCUUUUGGGUUGUAACUUUCUUUUACCAGGGAAAAUUCUCUGGUACCGCCUUAUGAAUCACCCUCAUAUAACACCUUUCCAGACAACAAGCCGAUACCCUAAUGCGAUAUUUUACCGGAAUGAUUGGGCCUAUAGCGUCCGAAUGCCGUUUAUCACCUCUCGCUGUCAAACUCGUGCGGGUUAUCAUGCUUAAGGGCGCCUGGAAACCCUC
rnacentral:rRNA from 1 species